rnacentral:rRNA from 1 species
UGUAUAAUGGGUCAGCGACUUAUAUUCUGUAGCAAGGUUAACCGUAUAGGGGAGCCGAAGGGAAACCGAGUCUUAACUGGGCGUUAAGUUGCAGGGUAUAGACCCGAAACCCGGUGAUCUAGCCAUGGGCAGGUUGAAGGUUGGGUAACACUAACUGGAGGACCGAACCGACUAAUGUUGAAAAAUUAGCGGAUGACUUGUGGCUGGGGGUGAAAGGCCAAUCAAACCGGGAGAUAGCUGGUUCUCCCCGAAAGCUAUUUAGGUAGCGCCUCGUGAACUCAUCUUCGGGGGUAGAGCACUGUUUCGGCUAGGGGGCCAUCCCGGCUUACCAACCCGAUGCAAACUACGAAUACCGAAGAAUGUUAUCACGGGAGACACACGGCGGGUGCUAACGUCCGUCGUGAAGAGGGAAACAACCCAGACCGCCAGCUAAGGUCCCAAAGUCAUGGUUAAGUGGGAAACGAUGUGGGAAGGCACAGACAGCCAGGAUGUUGGCUUAGAAGCAGCCAUCAUUUAAAGAAAGCGUAAUAGCUCACUGGUCGAGUCGGCCUGCGCGGAAGAUGUAACGGGGCUAAACCAUGC